GGAGAGGUGCGAGAGCGGCCGAAUCGGGCUCCCUGCUAAGGAGUUGUGCUCAUUGCGGGCACCGUGGGUUCGAAUCCCACCCUCUCCG
rnacentral:tRNA from 1 species